rnacentral:lncRNA from 1 species
GUUUAAUAUCCAAUUUAAAAAUUUUAAAUUCUAAUUUUCAUUUCUUAAACCAAAUUCAUAAUGUGACAUAAACCUAUGUUGUGUCAACUAUUUAAUCACAAUCCACAUUUAUAGCUGUAUCAAACUUAAAAGUUGUGUCCAUACUUGUCCCAUCUGUUCAGGGUUCUACAUCUGCGGUCGUAUAAUGCUGCGCCCUGCGAAGCAACUGGUUAAGAACUGCCCCAGCUGAACUAUCUUCUUGACAACAGGGAGUUCAAUCAUGUAAUUCAUGGUCUGUAAACUCUUCCCAGGUGUGUGUUUGUGAAAAUAUGACAAGUGAAAAGUAGCCAUAAUCAGGUGGUGGUAGGAGUCUUUUGCUGACCACUAUGUUACUGGUAGGGGCUGUAGGUAUUUACUAUUAUCAUAAAUACAUGCAUUAAGGGCACAGGAACA